AAACAGUUUUUCAUUUCUUUCCUGCAAUAAGUUAGCAUGUUUAUUUCAUAUUUUCAAUAAAAUAAAGCUGGAGAGUCUAGUGGUACCAGUUAAAACAAAACUCUAGAAAAGGCCACUAAGUUAUGGAAAGGGCAUACCCAUUAUUUACAACACCAAUUACACUAGUACAAUAGGCAAUCCAGCCUACGGAAGAAAAUAUGAUGUAUUCUCAAAUAUAUUGCAACAAAAUUAAAGUAAUCAAUGGUUUUCACACUGCUCGUAAUUAUCAGUAAAUCAGUUGACAUGCAAACUAUGAGUCAAUUACAAUUCUUUACAUUGAAGCAUGAAUAAUACAGGCAAAAUAUCAGAGAAACUUUGUGGCUACCUGAAGAUCCAUCAUAGCCAUGU
rnacentral:misc_RNA from 1 species